rnacentral:lncRNA from 1 species
AGGAAAUCAAUGAAGGGCCUGAGAGCAGCCGGUCUGGCAGACUUGACACGCAACAGAGGAAGGAGAACAGGAAUGACCUUUGACCCCCGGGAUCUGUGAGCAGCCACCAUCUUCCUCCAAGUGGCGACCCCUCAGCAUGCCUCAGCCGGGAAGACAGAUGGAGCAGGUGAGGCCUUCCAGUGACUAUUGUCAAACAAAGAGAAGAUACAUUAAUGGGAUCAAACUACUAGAUCAGGACUGGAUCCGCCGGUAUUGUACAGGUCUGGCGUCUAAAAGGCUCUUUAAUCGCGACUCUUGUGAGAGGAUAUAAAGGUGGUGUCACUCAG